UAGGGAAUAUUGGACAAUGGGGGCAACCCUGAUCCAGCAAUGCCGCGUGAGUGAUGAAGGCCUUAAGGGUUGUAAGCUCUUUUACCCGGGAUGAUAAUGACAGUACCGGGAGAAUAAGCUCCGGCUAACUCCGUGCCAGCAGCCGCGGUAAUACGGAGGGAGCUAGCGUUGUUCGGAAUUACUGGGCGUAAAGCGCACGUAGGCGGCUAUUCAAGUCAGAGGUGAAAGCCCGGGGCUCAACCCCGGAACUGCCUUUGAAACUAGAUAGCUUGAAUCCAGGAGAGGUGAGUGGAAUUCCGAGUGUAGAGGUGAAAUUCGUAGAUAUUCGGAAGAACACCAGUGGCGAAGGCGGCUCACUGGACUUGGUAUUGACGCUGAGGUGCGAAAGCGUGGGGAGCAAAACA
rnacentral:rRNA from 1 species